UGGUUCCUUGGAGCUAUCAUAUGAUUGAUCAGCUAGAUGAAGUUGAAAGAGGCUCCAGUCAGGAGAAGAAAUAAGAGCAAAGACCUGGAAGUUUAUAGUGUUUUGAGGAAAAUUAAGCAUUUCUGGGUGGUAAGUUGGUGGGUAUAUAGGCACCAAUGAGUAAGAUAAAGCUACAGUGCUGGCUUCUUCAACCAUGAUCUCUGCUUGGCUCUCAUCACUUGCCUCAUCUGACUUCCCUGGACUUGACUUGCUUCCUGGCAAUGACUCCUGGUCUGCUGAACUCCCACCUGAUCUAGCUCUUUUUUGAUCAGAUAAAUAUCAAAGCUAUGUUGGCAAUUGUUAUCUGACCACUGAAGCCAUUUUCUCUUCUUUCUGGGCACUCGGGUAGACCAUAAUUCUCAGCUUCUCUUGUGGUUAGUUUUGGCCAUGUUAACUGAGUUCAGGCCGAAAGAACAUGGGUGCAAGUGGUGACGUGCAAUACUUCCAGACUUGGAUUGUUGAAAACCUUCCAUUCCAUCUUCCGUUUUUUUUCCCUCUCCAAUUGGCUGCAAAUAGAGAACAACUUCAAAGCAACUUUGAGAGCCUUGUAUGGAAGAUGGCAACUUUGAGAGCCUUGUGUUGAAGAUGGCAAAGCCACAAGAUGGAAAGUGCUUGGGUUCUUGGAUCAUUGUAUGGAGGGGUUCUGCCCAACUAGGAUCACCCAGGCUGGAUUGUCAUCAAAGAAUUGGGUCCUGAAAGUAGCAUACUCAAUGGGGACUGUGAGCAUGCAUCACUUAAUCAGUACAUUGGCACUCCACUCCCUCCUGGGCCAGAUUGUAUGUAGGUCAACACCUCCAGUGGCUGAACCUCCAGAAGGGCUAUCACAAAGGUCUGAGAAUCUGUCUCCCUUAAGGCAGCGAGAAGUGGUCACAGACACGGCUUGGCUGCUAGCAUGGCAGAAGGUCUAGUGGGGGCAGCUGGGACUCCACCAGCCCAGAGUGAAGAUAAGAAUACCUAUUUUAAAGUUCUGUUGUGAGGUUCAAGUGCCACAUAUGGGGCCACCAGAAGCUGUUGGCGCCCCUCCCACAUCCCUGUGGUCCACUCAGGAGGUUAACUGCAGUCAGCUGUCAUUCUGCUGGUGGCUUCCUGCGUCUUUCUGCCUGAGCUUGUUCUUUGGCCCUGGAGGAACCCUCCACCAAUGAGAGAUGGGAAUUGUUGGAUAAAAGUCCCAGCUUCCACUCCAAGGCAUGUUCAUGAUCCAUGCAGCCUCUGAGAGGCCUCCCAUGGGCCUGAGCCCCAGUUGCCCACACUGGUAAUACACACAUCUGCUCACUCUCCACUGGCUUUCCUCUCUCCCUUUCUCACUGCUUCACCUUCCCAAUGUGCCUCCUGGACCACGUCCCAAAUAAAUGAUUGCACUCAAA
rnacentral:lncRNA from 1 species